UACAGAGGGUGCGAGCGUUAAUCGGAAUUACUGGGCGUAAAGCGUGCGUAGACGGUAGCGUAAGUCAGAUGUGAAAGCCCCGGGCUCAACCUGGGAAUUGCAUUUGAGACUGCUCUGCUCGGGUGCGGAAGAGGGAAGCGGAAUUUCCGGUGUAGCGGUGAAAUGCGUAGAUAUCGGAAGGAACACCAGUGGCGAAAGCGGCUUCCUGGUCCGACACCGGCGUUCAGGCACGAAAGCGUGGGGAGCAAACAGG
rnacentral:rRNA from 1 species